rnacentral:misc_RNA from 1 species
UCCGGCUUAGCGCCGGCAGUCUCCUUAGAGUUCCCAGCUUUACCUGAUAGCAACUAAGAACAGGGGUUGCGCUCGUUAUGGGACUUAACCCAAUAUCUCACGACACGAGCUGACGACAGCCAUGCAGCACCUGUCUCUCGGCUCCCGAAGGCACACCGCUAUCUCUAGCAGCUUCCGAGGAUGUCAAGGGUAGGUAAGGUUCUUCGCGUUGCGUCGAAUUAAACCACAUGCUCCACCGCUUGUGCGGGCCCCCGUCAAUUCCUUUGAGUUUUAACCUUGCGGCCGUACUCCCCAGGCGGAAGACUUAACGCGUUAGCUUCGCUACUAAAAACCCGUAGGUUCCCAACAGCCAGUCUUCAUCGUUUACGGCAUGGACUAC